AUUGAACGCUGGCGGCAGGCCUAACACAUGCAAGUCGAACGAGUGGCGGACGGGGGAGUAAUGUCUGGGAAACUGCCCGAUGGCGGGGGAUAACUCCUGGAAACGGUAGCUCAUACCGCAUACCAUCUGAUGUGCCCAGAUGGGAUUAGCUGGUAGGUGAGGUAACGGCUCACCUCGGCGACGAUCCCUAGAUGGUCUGAGAGGAGGACCAGCCAAAGUGGAACUGAGACACGGUCGAGACUCCGACGGGAGGCAGCAGUGGGGAAUAUUGCACAAUGGGCGCAAGCCUGAUACAGCCAUGCCGCGGGUAUGAAGAAGGCCUUCGGGUUGUAAAGUACUUUCAGCGGGGAGGCGUUACCCGCAGAAGAAGCACCGGCUAACUCCGUGCCAGCAGCCGCGGUAAUAC
rnacentral:rRNA from 1 species